GACGAAUGCUGGCGGCGUGCCUAAUACAUGCAAGUCGAACGCAGUGGGGACGGGUGAGUAACACGUGGGUAACCUCCCAUCAGAGGGGAUAACACUUGGAAACAGGUGCUAAACCGAUACUGAUGGAUGGACCCGCGGUGCAUUACACAGUUGGUGAGGUAACGGCUCACCAAGGCCACGAUGCAUAGCCGACCGUAGAGGGUGAUCGGCGAGACUGGGACUGAGACACGGCCAAGACGCCUACGUGAGGCAGCAGUAGGGAAUCUUGGGCAAUGGACGAAAGUCUGACCGAGCAACGCCGCGUGAGUGAAGAAGGUGUUCGGAUCGUAAAACUCUGUUGUUAGAGAAGCGGUAUCUAACCAGAAAGCCACGGCUAACUACGUGACAGCAGCCGCGGUAAUAC
rnacentral:rRNA from 1 species